GCUGCUCUUAAUGUCCUGGGCAAGAUUAAAGGAUAUCCUGUUUGGGCCGAUCCAAACCGAGUAGAACCAUUCCUUGACGAAAACGUUUCACCUCCAGCUGCAUCUCCGAGCAUUGUGAAUGCCAAGGCCUUGGGAUUGCCUCUUUCAAAGCUGUGAAGCAUGUUGCUAAAGAUAUUUUAGCACAAAUUGCAAGCAUUAUAGAUAAUGGAGGUAAAUGGAGAUUGUAUUUCUGGGUGAAAUUGAUGAAUGUAGAACUCUG
rnacentral:misc_RNA from 1 species